UCGGAUGUGGUGCAAUGCAGCACGGCCUCUCAUCCUUCGAAGAAGUCGUACGACUCGUACCAUGAAGGUGAAGAGGCAACUCCGGGUUCGAUCCCCGGCGUCCGAA